CAUAAUCAAAUAAGAUUUCACAACCCAAUGAAUUCAAUUGAACAAGCCGAUAAUUUGGCAUAUUUCACAAAUAUACACAUAAUUACUUCACUAAGUAAAAGACCUUCAAAAUGUGACAGCCCCGAAACACAUCCAAUAUUUGUUAACACCUUCAAUAAAAAAAUACAUCAGAUUACAUCAACAAAUAUAAAACAUUGUAUAGACCCUCCUAAUCAUCAACAUAGAAACAUGUAACAAACUUCCUUUGCAACUCAAACUUCAUCUUUACACCAUUUGCGCCUCAAACUUCUACAGCUCAACAUUGUACAACCCCUCUUAAUCGUCAUUACACCCUUAGGAGCACAAUCUUCCCUUGCAACACUCACCAUCAAGGAAACAUCUAACAAACAAUAUGCUUCUAUUACAAAAUGGCAAGUUGAUUAAAACAAUAUCAACAAUAGUUAUUAUCUAUUUCACAUUAUUUGAAGGUCAGUCAUCAGGUAUAGGUAAAACCUAUAUACCUAAGAGUUAUGCCAUGGAAUGAUAGUAUUUUAUUAAUCAACAAUAAUGUUUCCUUGCAUCAACACAACAUUGAUGACUAAUUAGGAGUAACCUAGUGCCACACAGUUCAAAGGCAUAUUAUGGAGACCAUGUCAUCGACUAAACUCACAACCAAAUUUGUUGCAGGUCAAUUUUAGUUGAAUUUUAAGUACCUAAUUAGUAGGCCUAUAAUGUAUCUCCUAUAUUUCAUUUAUAUAUAGUUCAACUAUGAAGUACAACAGCUGCUAAGAAGCAAAAGGAGAAAAAGAAAGUAUUGGGAAAACUACAUGAAUCAUAGUGAGAACCCACUAAAUUGAUAUAUGGUGUUAAAGUAAAUUAGUGUUUUUAUAGGAAUACCUUGCCUCCAUAUGAUCCCACAAUUUCCCUAAUGCUACUGCUAUGCAUAGCACAAUCCUUGGUUACUUGUCAAUCACAGUAAAAGUUUGAGAUUGAACACGUGUAUUAUUUAGCAAACCAAAUAUCCGUACAAAAUUAGAAAGAUAGGAAUGAAUCAAUCAUUACUUGUUUGAAAACUGCAAAUUGUGAGUCUGUGGUAGAUGUAUUAUACAAAUACAAUAUGAAAUUGAUCAGCUCUCAGAACUGCAACUUAACAGAUUAAUAAUUGAAGGCUCACUACAAAGAAGAAAAAAUAUUUAUCUGAAAUCCAAAUAAGCAUCCCUGCUCACACACAUGUGAACCACCCAAGCAAGCCUUCACACAUACAUGUACAGAUCUAGGUGCAAGUUUGGUACAUAUCAGAAUCAGCAUACAUACCCGUGAUAUUGCCGUUUGGGGGUGCAUAUGCAUGUCACGGCAGGAAACAUGGACGGAGGGACAACACAGGACACAAGCAAUAGAAAAAACAAUACUUGUAGUGCAAUCAACAUAGCAUCAUAUCUCAGCCCCCAUCACCAGAGAAAUAGCUAGAAAUAAGCCAUACAACCAGCCACCAUCAACACAUCAGCAGCAGCAAAACUAACACAACACCAGUACUAAAACAACAAUACUAGUGCAAUACAUUUAGCCACUUAAAGCAUCAACAACACCAGUGCAGCUAAAGAAUCAACAUUCAACACUACAAAAGCAACACUAAAAGAGCAGACUAGCAGCCGAACACCACCAGUAGAGGGGUUCCUAUGAAAUAAAUAGUUGCAAGCACUUUGUUGUAUAAAGAACAAAUUUUCACAGUACAAGAACCAUGUUUGUUUCUAUUUAGUUUGUACCACUUCCUACCCUUCUAAAAUAUGUGUAUGGUUCUACACUUGCCACUACAGAAUAUUACAAACUACUAGUAUGGUUCCAGUAUAUACACGACCAGUAGCACACUUGAUUUUGCUUUCAAUAUAUGUAUACCUCACAGAAAAAAUCAACACUAGGAAUAGAAAUAUUAGAGGCAAUCUAUUCGUGACUAAACAUAUUUGCAAGACGACAUGGGUGUAAGACUGGAAGAAAAAUGUCCAUGGCUCAAGAGAAAUUACAACAUCAAAUUCCAUCUGUUUUACCAAAUCGUGUGCAUACAAAAACCUAUACACGUACGUUUCACUAUUGUCAUCCUUAAGGAAUAUCAAAGAUAAAAUACUUAUGUCUCUCAGUUUAAUCUAGCUUGUCUAAUUUUGGAAGAUGUUGGCCUUCCUAUAGUCAGAUUAAAUACUGAGAAAAAAAUGUUUAAUCAAGAAAACAAAUGUGUUAAGUACAUAAUGGAGCUACAUAAUUUAAGUGUCACUCGAAUAUACCUUGAAAGUGAUUACUAGUAUGGUAAAUUAGUGAGAGAAAAUGUGUUAAAUCAAGACAGCGAAUGUGUUAAGUGCAUAGUAGAGCUAUAUAAAUGAACUAUCACUGCGAUAUGCCCUCAAAAUGAUUUACCAACGGUUUGUAGCAAUACUGAAUGGAAGCACUUGUUGGUACAUGCUUGCAAAUGUGCAAAGAAAAAAUAGUUUGCUAAAAUAUAAUAAAUCCAUCAUGGUUCUACCUCGAAAUUCUGAAAGUGUAAAAUCAUGAACAAUUGAUUUGCUUUUACGACCAUUUGAUGCCUCCUCAUUCGAUUCCAUAAAGGACUAAAGCUCGAGAGGAAAAGAACAUGGAAGUCAUCAGACCUAAAAACAUUAAUACUGUAUAUAGUGAUUAUGUGCAAUUUUAUCAUAUAAAAUAUGAACGAUACCAUAUUUCUUAGCAUUAUUGGCUCCAUUGAGGAGACGCUCACCACAGAUAGAGAAGACAGACCCGACGAGGGAAAGACGGUGAUGCAACUUGCGGAUGAUUGGACCCAGCCACAAGGGCCACCCAUGUAGUCUGGGUCCAUAGUGGAAUCGCCACCUCUUGUAUAUCACCUUCGCCCCCACCCGCUGGAGCUAGAUCCAUGCCCGCUGUCAGUUGUCGGUCCCGCCACCACCGCUGCCGCCUAUGUUUGAGGGGUAGGACUAUCGAACUGGGCCUCCAUAUCUUGAGGAGGGGAGCUGAAUGGGAGCGGCAUGGUGUUUGGCAUAUGGGGACGGAUCCGACAAGGGAUAAAUGGGGAGGCCCCUCGCGCGGGGUGGUUCACCACCGGUGUCGCCGGCAUGGGUGUGGGGCCACCGUGGAGGAGUGGCGGCGGCUGAUGGUUGGGGACUAGAGGAGAUAUCUAGGAUUAGACUGGUGUGAACUCUGUUGUUAAAUGGGCUGGCUCAAAAAAAU
rnacentral:lncRNA from 1 species